rnacentral:rRNA from 2 species
UACGGAGGAUCCAAGCGUUAUCCGGAUUUAUUGGGUUUAAAGGGUGCGUAGGCGGAUUAAUAAGUCAGUGGUGAAAGCCUGCAGCUUAACUGUAGAAUUGCCGUUGAUACUGUUAAUCUUGAAUGUAGUUGAGAUGGGCGGAAUAUGACAUGUAGCGGUGAAAUGCUUAGAUAUGUCAUAGAACACCGAUUGCGAAGGCAGCUCGUUAAACUAUUAUUGACGCUGAGGCACGAAAGCGUGGGGAGCAAACAGG